GGGAGAAACCACUGGUGGUGACUUUGAUACCAAUUGUUGGUGGCAGAAACCACUGGUGGUGGCUUUAGAACACUUAGAGGGGAUAAAACACAUGACUUUAUUACAAAAACAAAAGCUUAUAAAAAU